rnacentral:rRNA from 1 species
AUGAACGCUGGCGGCGUGCUUAACACAUGCAAGUCGAACGGAAAGGCCCAAGCUUGCUUGGGUACUCGAGUGGCGAACGGGUGAGUAACACGUGGGUGAUCUGCCCUGCACUUCGGGAUAAGCCUGGGAAACUGGGUCUAAUACCGGAUAGGACCACAUUUUGGAUGGUGUGGUGGAAAGUUUUUCGGUGUGGGAUGAGCUCGCGGCCUAUCAGCAUGUUGGUGGGGUAAUGGCCUACCAAGGCGUCGACGGGUAGCCGGCCUGAGAGGGUGUACGGCCACAUUGGGACUGAGAUACGGCCCAGACUCCUACGGGAGGCAGCAGUGGGGAAUAUUGCACAAUGGGCGCAAGCCUGAUGCAGCGACGCCGCGUGGGGGAUGACGGCCUUCGGGUUGUAAACUCCUUUCGCUAGGGACGAAGCGUUUUUGUGACGGUACCUGGAGAAGAAGCACCGGCUAACUACGUG